CGAGUAUAUUCUUGUGGACGACGGAAACGGAAUGAAAAGAGAGCUAUUAUGCGUGUUCUGAUGGAGUAUGCGUUUUACUUCUACCGGGUGGCAUAUCACCUCUACUAGUAGUCGGCCCGGGCCGCGUAAGGCUGAAUGUGUAUUCUUGUCAUGCCACGCAGCAGAACCAGGUCGUUUGCCGGUCUUCAAUGGGUAGGAUUUGCUACAAGUGCUCCUUGCUCAUACAUGUAAGACAGAACAUGUAGACGUAGCCUUUGAUAUGCUAUGACACUUGUAAAUCGGCGCAAUUAAUGCAUCGGGCAACUUUCAACACGCCUAUCAAAUUCCAGUGCACAGUCAACUCAGGCUUUGUGUGCUGUGAACUUGUCCAUGGCAAUCGUCAAACGUAAGAAUGGUAGCCAAGUAACAAAGUAGAAUAUCUCAGGCACUUCGCGGGCAUUUGACAGAAAAACACGAGUAGAGAUCGGAAAAUAACUAGGUGGGGACUCGAAAGUAAGCCAACACUCUCAGAGGAAACAAACCAACGAAGCGAGACAAAUCCGGAAUUUUUGUCGUCGGACAUUCCAAUCUUGAGUAUCAAAAUGGCCAACUGUAUACACUCGUACUACAGCAGUCAAACAAGUGCGCCUCUCUCUUCAUCCACAUUCACC